GGGGGUAUAGCUCAAGGGUAGAGUGUGUGCCUAGCAUGCACAAGGUCCUAGGUUCAAUCCCUAGUAUCUCCA
rnacentral:tRNA from 1 species